AACGAACGCUGGCGGCAUGCCUAACACAUGCAAGUCGAACGAGACCUUCGGGUCUAGUGGCGCACGGGUGCGUAACGCGUGGGAAUCUGCCCUUGGGUUCGGAAUAACAGUUGGAAACGACUGCUAAUACCGGAUGAGGACGUAAGUCCAAAGAUUUAUCGCCCAGGGAUGAGCCCGCGUAGGAUUAGCUAGUUGGUGGGGUAAAGGCCUACCAAGGCGACGAUCCUUAGCUGGUCUGAGAGGAGGAUCAGCCACACUGGGACUGAGACACGGCCCAGACUCCUACGGGAGGCAGCAGUGGGGAAUAUUGGACAAUGGGCGAAAGCCUGAUCCAGCAAUGCCGCGUGAGUGAUGAAGGCCUUAGGGUUGUAAAGCUCUUUUACCCGGGAUGAUAAUGACAGUACCGGGAGAAUAAGCCCCGGCUAACUCCGUG
rnacentral:rRNA from 1 species